rnacentral:lncRNA from 1 species
GGGAGCUAGGGUAGUUAUUGACGGCAAGCUGAUUACAAGCAGGGGGCUUGCAACUGCAAUAGAAUUUGCAUUGGCAAUUGUUAGCAAGCUUUUUAGUCAUGCAAGAGCAAGGAGUGUAGCUGAAGGUCUUGUUUUUGAGUACCCUAAGAGCUAGAGAGACAGUGUCUGGCACUUAUGGUUGGAGUUACCCUGCACCAAUUCAAGUCAGUGGUUGAAAUGAGUCAAUUUCUUGCCAGCUGCUUGGGCUUGAAAUGAGAAUUGGGUUUUUGUAAUCAACAUCUCAGGAUUGUAUUUUGUGCUAGUACUGAUUUCUGUAAAGGUCUCAAGUAUCACAAGCUCCAUAACUGACUC